rnacentral:lncRNA from 1 species
UGAUGCUGGUAGAGCACACGCCCAGAACCACCGCCAGGUACACAAGUCACUGGACAAGGUGGGAAGGCAUCUUACUCAAUCAAUGGACCUUAUUCUAAAGCGGGAAGGGCACUGAGAGGAGGGUAUCUCUCAAAUGAGGAGUCUACGACCUGCUUCAGGGGAAGGCCAACAACUUCUUGGAUUUUAUGACCUGCUUCAGGGGAGAAGGACAAGGGAAGUACAGCGCCUACAACAAUGCAAAGGCUAGAAGGAAUGAAGGCAGGGACAUGGAAUGGAGAAUUUCCAUUUCACGGAUCCACAUAAACUGAAAAGGAACAAGAGUCGGUGAGACCAAAGAGCACUGAAGGCCAUGAACCACCACCAUUCUCAACCCCUGGGCCAGGCAAGAAAAGCCACGGUUCCUGGAAGGGAUGACGACAGGCUUACUGAAUUAUUUUCAUCCAUGCCCUUUUAAAAUAUGGUUGGUAGAAAUUUGCCAUUUGAGACUAGAAUCCCAUUCGGAAUCAUGUAAGUCUCUUUUGACUCCACGAGGACAUCUUUCACCCAGUUUUGGGAAAUCUGAGGAAUGGAUUCUUCUACAGACUGAUAAAAUAUCACAAGGUCCAAGAGUUUGUGUGAGAAAGAGGACAUCAAGUGAUGGAUGUGAACGUGGUAGACAUACAAUGGAAGGCAAGAAGGUAUCUCAACACAGCAGAACAAGACCCCAUGAGGAGCCCAGAAAAAAAAUAAAGAAGGUUCCUCACUGGUUAGGAAUUCAAAAGCAGUCCUGGCAACCUCAUAGCAUCUUUACCUCAGAAGCAGGCAGCUCUGGUUACUCCACCAUUUUCAGGAACAAGGUUUUUCUCUCCCCCUCUGCUGCAUUUCCUCUGCGGCUCCUGAUCCAUCUGCCUCUACCUUCUUCCUAGCAUCAAAUUUCCUCCCAGGAGACAACAUGAAUGGGUUAAGAAGUACCCAAUGAGGGCUGCUCCAACUGGACAGCAUCUUUGAAACUGGGACCUCACAGAUGGUCAUCACAGGCCCCUGAUGCCUGGGUACCCAGCGACCAACCCCAGUCUAGUCUGUCUAUAGCAACAUAGGUGAAGGGGAGUCUCAGGGGCUGCCUAAAGGGCUCAGAAUGUGGUGAGUACUUAAGACUGCAUGGAUUUUCACUGUUUACAUGAAUAUAGGACAAGUAUUCACAGAACUAUUAGCUAGAUCUGUGAACAAAACAUUAAUAACAUUGUAUGUCCAUGUCUGAACCCCUGAAAUUCCAACAACCACCACCCGCCUACCAACUUGCAGCAAACCGGCUCUCUCCACAGUCUUCCCCAGAUCAGGGAGAAACAAUUCCAUCCUUCCAGUACUCAGACUGUAAAACUGGAUUCAUUCUGAUUCCUCUCUCACACAUCCCACACCUGAUCUGACAGGAAAUCCUAUAAACUCUGCCAUUAAAAUAUAUCCAGAAACAGGCCAGGCACAAUGGCUCAUGCCUCUAAUCCCAGCACUUUGGGAGGUCGAGGCGGGCGGAUCAUGAGGUCAGGAGUUCGAGACCAGCUUGGCCUACAUGGCAAAACCCUGUCUCUACUAAAAAUACAAAAAUUAGCUAGGUGUGGUGAUGCACACCUGUAAUCCCAGCUACUUGGGAGGCUGAGCUAGGAGAAUCACUUGAACCCGGGAGGCACAGGCUGCAGUAAGCCAAGAUCGUGCCACUGCACUCCAGCCUGGGCGACAGAGUAAGACUC